UGACCUACACCACAGCUCACGGCAACGCCGCAUCCUUAACCUACUGAGCAAGGCCAGGGAUACAACCUGCAUCCUCAUGGAUGCUAGUUAGAUUCAUUUCCACUGAGCCAUCAUGGGAACUCCCCAUUCCUGCAUUUAAUUAUGUUCUUCUUUAUACUGUUCUCCAGUUUAUUAUAUAUGGUCUCCCCAAAUACCUAAAUUCAGGACAAACAUAGUCUAACAACAAAACAACAACUCUGACUCUAUCAGUGGGAAUACUAGAAUAUCAUUUGUAUUGUACUUUAUAAAGUAACUGCACAUCCAUUAUCUCAUAAUUGAAUCCUCACAACCAUCCAAAAAGCCAGUAGAAUUUUUUUCAUUUUACCAAGCAAAUUGAAAGUGGAGAAGAGACUGAAUGAGCCAGGAUCACACAGCUCCUGAGCCAGGAUCACACAGCUCCUGAGCCAGGAUCACACAGCUCCUGAAUAACCUCUGUCCCCAGCAGAGCUCUGACCAGAAACUGGGGUGUCAGAAUCCCACUGACUGCUCAAGGCAGCUCUGGUCUGGGGUGAACAUCUCUAAGGAAUUCUACUGCAAUCACAGACAACCAUCUCUCCUGAAAUUAUAAAUGUUCCCCCUAUGAUAUAGUCUAUAAACAAGGAAGUAAGUGCUCUUCGUUCCCCCUAUGAUAUAGUCUACAGCCAAGGUAGUAAGUGCUAGUGAGCAUACCACCUCCUAAUGUGCUCUCAGAUGCCCAGUGUCAAUGCUCCACUCCUUCCCAUGUGAGUUUGGACAGAGAUAUUUCACCUGCUCUUGAGGGUCCAUGUGAGUAUCUCCUUCAGAUCUUUUUCAUCAAGAAGUCAUUGUCAGAGGCAUUCACUUCCCAAAUGGGACGUAACCAGGAAAGGCAUGACACUUGGUACCCAAGAAUGUGCCUCUCAUUGCUCUAGUCCCUGAGUUUGAGGCCUCCCUUAUAGAGCUCCUGAAACAUACAUGAUGUAUACAAGCACAUUUUUGCUGUUAUUCUGGCAGAGAACUGCUCCUGCAUCAAUUCUCUCCUGGUGGGAGUUGGAAGGUUCCAGAUAGUCUUGAUGAAAGACUUGUCCGGACUAAGAGCCUGAACAAUUGACAUUUUAUUUACAUGGCUGAUACUGAAUGAAGUUCAAUACUUAUUGAUUCUUGCUUGUUUGCUAAGGGCCAUGAUGUACAAAAUGUGCUAUUAAAAAAGGAAAAUUUAUUUAUUAGACUAUAAAGAAUAGAAGCAAUUGAGAGCCUGACAAUCCUGUAUACAGGACAAUCAUUCUGUCCCUUUAAUUCAUCGUAAGACAAAUGUUAAACACAGUUAAGUGGCAACCCACCACUUCCGGUGGAGCACUUGGGAAUGUAUGCACUGUUGCAGGGAGAAGAUGGAUCAACUCAGUUUUAUCCACUCUUUCACCAUUGCUUUGAACAUGAUGCCAAGGGAAGCUAGAACUUCAUUCUGCCUAACAAAUCACCCUGACAGUGCAACAUGGAAAGUUUCUAAAUGGGAGGAACUUGAUUCUUGAAUAGAAAGGGAGUUGUCAAGUUGAUUCAGGAUCUUAGCACGAACGAACUGAGAGAUAGGUAUGGCUCCCACGCAAGAUUCCUGCAACUCCCUAAGGCAUACACAGUCAUUUGCUUAAGAUUUUUUAUAUUUCUGUUAUUGUGCAACAGAAGAACUGGAUAUAUCUAUGGUGACUUCAAGUUUCACAUUUUGACUGCCUGCAGAAUGAAGUUCUAGCUUCCCUUGGCAUCAUGUUCAAAGCAAUGGUGAAAGAGUGGAUAAAACUGAGGCAAAGGAAUAACAAGUAAUUCCACCCUGUUUUAAAAAGCAUAGAUAGGGAGUUCCCAUUGUGGCUCAGUGGUAAUGAACCCAACUAGGAUCCAUGAGGAUGCACGUUCAAUCCCUGGCCUCGCUCAGUGGGCUAGGGAUACAGCAUUGCCAUAGGUCACAGACGCAGUUCAGAUCUCGAGUUGCUGUGACUGUGGUGCAGGCCAGCAGCUACAGCUCCAAUUCAACCCCUAGCCUGGGAACUUCCAUAUGCCACAGGUGCGGCCCUAAAAAAGAAAAAGGAAAAAAGCCAUAGAUAACUGACAAUGGAAAUUAUUUGAAAAGGAAAAUACUGCAUGACAGGCUGUCCAUGACUACGGUAAUUCCAUACCUUUACCAAAAAUUGUGUGUGUAUUUCUUUGAAUUUGCCCAUAGAAUCAUUAAUAUUUAUAAAGGGGAGAAGAGAUAAAAUUGUUUUACCUUGAGCCAUAAUAAUCAAAGAGAUCUGCUGUAAUUUGGUUCUCUGCUCUGAAUGUUUCCAGUCAACUAAAGCAGUAAUCUAAUUCAUUCUGAUUAUCUGAGAAUAGCUUUUUGAAAUAGCAGCAUCAUUUCAGUUGAGUUCUGAUCUUGCCUUACUUUUGUUAAUAUCAUUUGAUAGACCCAUAACUACUAAUUUUUGGAUAUUAGUUCAAUUUUAUUUUGUAAUGAUUUGUAUUUGGCUUCAUUUUAAUUUGGAAAAGGCUUAUUUCUUUUUUUAAUUAAAAGAGGAAAGAAUAACUAAUGCCUUAAAAGUCUGCAUUUUAAAGAAAGUCAUCCACAGAGAAUCAGAGAAAUGAAAACAUCACUUUUCAAAGGGUCAGCCUGGCCAAACUCUGUGAGGCCUUGAGGCCAUGAGAGCUGGUAGGUUUCCUUGAGUCAAAAGCAAUGUGAAAUCUACUGGUAACUAACAGAGGGGGUUUGCUUGCAAACAGUAUGACUACAGCUAUAACUAUCUUAAAAUAUACCUACAGAUAUGAAUUUUAUUUAAUUAAUGUCUCUAUGUCCUAUACAUAUCUACCUUUCACAUAUAUGUUAAAUAUAUUUAUUUAAUGCUCUCUAGAUAAGGGCACAAAGCUCACUGUUAAAAGGAUAGGACAAUGAACCAGACAGGGAAUUUGUCCUUAAGAGAAGGGAAAGCUAAAAUUUUGGGGACUCCUACUAUGGGUCAUACCCUAGACUGCAUUUCUGCUACAAUUAUAAUUGUUGUCAAGAAAAAUGGUGAGAAGUCAUGUGACUUCUCUCAGCUAAGUUAUAAAAUGACUUUUAAGUUUUCUUUUAAUAUAUCUUCAUAACUGUUAUCUUCACAUUUACCAUCAUCCCUUCCCUUUCUUUAUUCUGAAAUUCAGUUAUCCAGUUUCUUUUCUCCCUACCCUACCCCCUUCACUAUUGUUUUUAAAGAAUUCAGUCAGAGAUUUGCACUGAAGAGGUUAUUUCUGGGUAUCUACUGCUGUAGCCAGGGUGGGGGAGUGUGGGUAGGCAGAGAAAAACCUGACUCCAAGUACAGGCGUUCCUUUGUACCUCAGUGGACAAUCAACAGACUAACUCAGGAAAGAAAUUCCAAGAAUAGCUGCCUUAAUAGGUGAAAAUUAGCAGGAGGGGUAGGACAGAAAGAACAAAAAGAGAGGCUAUAUAAAUGCACUUUGUAAAUUCUUUCUCUUAGAACCUACACAUUACUAUUAUUAUAUUUAUUUAAGCAAAAAUUUAAAUCACUAUUUAAAUGCUAGGUGUCUCAAUUUUAAAUCCUCUUAGUUCUGUUUAUCAUGGGAGGAAGGAGACCUUAACAAUCAAACUGUCCUCCUAUCAACAAUUCAAAUGAUAUUUUAAGAGUUAUUCAAUAUAUUUGGUUAUUAGAUGGGUUUACUGGAAAAAUAAAAUAAAAAUCAGUGGCUGAUCAUUUCCGUUUUUAAGUCAACACUGCAAGGAACAUUUAUGCAGAUGAAAUAUAUUUGCAAUAACAGUGCUUUGAAAUAAAUGCUAUUAAGAAAGCUUAGGGAAUGAUUAUAUUUUAUUUCAAUAGAAGGAACAAUUGAACUCUGCUCUUGUCUUCUGUUUCAACAUCAUGUCUCUCUGUCCCUCCUCCUCUUGUAAUAAAUAUUCUCUUGCCAGCCCUGUUACUGACAAUAAUGUAGGUGAACUCUGCACCAUGUACAUCUGUCAUUAUUAAUGACCAUGGGAGAGAGAAACGAUAACUCACUCUUUUCGGAACCAAGAGGGCAAAACACCAUAGAAAUUUCCUUCUGUGUUUUCUGCCGCUAGAAUACCUGCAUUUAUCUUUUCUAAAUUCACCAAUAAGCUUCCAUAUUCAGAAUAACACAUUUCUAACUUCAAUUGCAAAAUACUGUCAUAGAGAAGACACCUGUUGCUGUAUGAAGGUAUUUAUGAAAACAAUACUUGUUUUAGGUAUACAAUACAUAAAACCCUUUUAAAGCUCACACUAUAAAGAAAGUUAUGGUAGAAAACAUUUCUUUUACUCAGAGGCUUAAAUAACUUUCAAUAUGACUAGGCCACAGAAUGCCCUUACUAAAAUACUUAUUCUAUUCACUAAGUUUAUAAAAGGAUACAUUUAUUUUAAAUUAGGCCUUUCAGGUAUUUUGUACUUGAAUUCUGAAAGAAGUCUUAAACUACUAUGUUUUUUAUUAUCAAAAUAUAAACUAAAUGCUAUAGAAACAAAGUAAAAGAUAGAGAUAAUGUGCUUCUUUAAGAACAAAGAGCCCUUAUUCACUUUUCAGAAAAAUCAGAGGAUGGUUGUGCUAAUACUGUGCUGGAAAAUAGACACAAAACUCUGCAUUAGCUACUUUUUAGUGGAAGCACAGAUAACACUCUUUAAAAAAAAAAAAUAUAUAUAUAUAUAUAGAUAUAGAUAUAUAUAUACCACUUCAUGUAGACAUUUUAUUUCAAACUAAUUCUUAGGCAGCAGCUUUCUGUCUGUCCCCAAUUUUAAGCCACAUGCUAUUAACACCUUUUACUUCUCCUUAGCAUUGAUGCUGACAAAACAUUGUCAUGAAGAUUAUUUUGACUUACUGGAAAUGGACUUUUCCAGAACAUAAAGUUUAAGACUUCGAUAGACUGGGAGGGCUCUGUUUAAGCCACUAACAUGCUCUGCUAAAUCUCUCUUGUCUUCCCACUGGCUCUUUACACUGUCUAUUGAUAUGUGAAAUUCCAGAAAUAUCAGCUUUUGUCAACAUUACAGUCUGCACUACUAUUAGUAGCUUUUAAAGAAAGUAUAAAGAAAUAUUAGCAAAAAAUAACUUUUGUCUUUCAACAGAUGUUUAGAAGACAGUAAAAUAUCCACUAAUUUUAAACAUUCUCUACCCAAAUCUCAAACUAAAAUACAGUUUUCCAAAUGCAAUGCAAGGUAUAAAUGUAAUUCUAUAUGCCAAUGAAUACUACAGUAGUAACUCAAGAUUUUAUGUCUGUUUAAAUGAUAAAUCAUGCCAAACAGUAAGGAAACAAACCAAGCAAAAAAAAAAAAAAUACAAAAAAAGGAUAGUGAGAAGUGGGCCCUAUACACCCCCUGAAAAAUGUUAAACUCCUCUAGCUACUACGAGAUAACUUUAACCAACAAAGCCUUCAAUCUGAGAGAUGUUCUACCACCAAACUUUAAGGAAAAGAAUCCCCUUGAUUUUUAGGCCCACAGUUCAAUGAACAAGUCAAUAAAUCAACAAUAAUUAGUCACAUUUCCAAUUCUAUAAUAUUUAGCUGCCAGCCACCAAAGGCUGCACUCCACUUCAAAAUGAGUUUGUCUACAUUGAUUUUAAGAAAAAAAUAAAUCCAGUCAAAUAUGUUUGAUUUAAAAACUUAUAUGACGUCAUAUAAUCAUUUUGAAAUUGUCACUUCCAAUUUUGUUUUUGUUCCAAUGUAAAUAUACCAAAGGAAGGCCACAGGCUUUGUGUUGGGAGAAGGUCUCUUCUAUUUUAUCAAAUGAUCCUGGCACUUCUCUUAUUAUUAUAGUAGGAAACAGAGGAUGUGAAGUUUGGGAGAACAAGAAUGAGAGUUUUUCUUUACAAACUUUUCUCCCUCUGAGACUUACAAAUUUUCAAGGUGAAUCAAACCAUCCCACCAAAGUUCAUAGAGAAUAAAACCUGUUUGACUCCUGGGGUGUGGGGAGCUGUCGGGAGCACAUUUUUCCACUCCCCAAACUCCAUGACUGUCCUUACUUCUCCCUACCUGUUCAUGUUGGAUGAUAGAAUCAGGCCAAAUGAGUUUGUUUCCAUCUCUGCUACUGUUUUUACUUAAUAGCCUCCCCUCAUCAGUAUUAUAAAGGGGCCUAUACCUUAGUCCCAUGUAAAUUUUUUGUCACUAAAACUAAAAAAAAGUAUCAAUAAAUAUUUCAAGGACAUAAAAUCAUUCCAUUCAACAAACUGCUUCAAAUCAAAUUAGUCCGAAACACUUUAUCCUUAAAACUAUAAAAACAUUGUGAUACUAAAUAUUCAAUAUUAUCAGUCAGGCAAAUUGGCCCAGGUCAAAUGUGCAAAUUUUUAAAAUGAGAUUGCUAAAUUUCUCGCCCUGAUAGCUUCGUAAUAAAUAAUGUGCUUCUAUUCAAUCUGUACAUUAAGUCUUUUAUGUGGCCUUAAGGCACUCUCUGAUGGCUAUGCCCAUUACAAUGUAGCCAUAGAAACUGACACAUUUAUUUCUUGGAUUAGUGUGCCAUUGAAAAUAUUAAUAUGAUGCAGUAAAUGGGGAUUUAAUCUAAUCUACUGAUGGCAGGAUGAAGUUAGUAAAAGGUUGAGUGCCCUUAUGGAGAAAGAAAGAUUAUAUCUGCAGAGAGAAGCUUGUUAUUGGUUACAAAGAUCAACUAAACAGCCUAUGACAUAUUAUGCACUUUCUACAUUUAAAAAGACUUUCAGUCUCAGCUUGGAGGCUUUCUGCAGGCCAAAGAAUGCUUUCUCACAUACAUAUUUUAAAGAUUUCAGUAUCCAAGCUGAAACACCUUUUAUCUAUAAGCAUAAACAGAAAAGCACACCUCUCAUAACAUAUUGUGCGAAACAUGGCACCCUGGGUGAAACUGGUAUGACUCAAACCAUUUUUGUAAAAUUUAUUUGAUUUGAAGGCAUUUGCUUAGCCUUUCACCUCUGCCAAGGGUUAAAAAAAAAAACAAAAAAAAACACACACACACACAGAAAAACUUCAUCAAAGAGAGCCAAUUUCAUUUAAUAUGUUCUGAGAAAAUGCAGCUAAUCGUUAAUUUCAUUCAUUUCUAACUGGAAAUCAGAUAUCAACAAAUACUCCUUUUGUUAUGGACUAUAUCACAUUUGACUCUGAUGUCUCCUAGUAAUUCAUAAGAUUCUAGGUCUGUCCCCUCUUUACUCUGCAGCAAACUACAUAAAUUUCAAAGAUAUAUUCUGACAGAUGAGGCAUUGUUGAAAAGCAAAGUACAGCACUUUGUCCUUGAAAUGUUAACAUGUAAUGCCAUAAAGUAUUCAAAUAAUAAUUUACUCAAUCUUUCAGGGUAAUUAAUUAAAAUGCUGGAGAUGUUGGAGAAAAUCACCUUGAGCUUAUAAAACUGUAAAGCCCACCCCCUUCUUCUCUGCAUGCAAGCUGCCCCUGCAGACCUACCACAUGCUUUCCCAGUUAUGGGGUUUGAUUUCAGAAGAUAAUAAAUAGCCAGGAUCUAAUUUUGCCAUGUCACAACCGAUUAUGUUUCACAAGAAAAGGUGGAGAGCUCACCUACCAGAUGAAGGUGAAACAUAAAACCACUUUUAUUUAUGUCAUGUGUCUAAAUUCAACUCAGCCUGGUCCUGAGUACUGGGAGUGUGUAGACUUCCACUGUCAUGCGAAUUUAUGUACCUCAAGAAUGUGUCAAAUAUAAACAUAAAUUUAAUCAAAGGGAUGGAAACCUUUAUCACACACAUACACAAAAAACACAUUUUUGACAUCUAAUAUAAAUUAUUUUAAUGUGUUUUUUUACUACUUUUCAGAAGGUCACAAAGAAAGAAUAAGACAUUAAGCAGAUACAGCCUAUGGCUAUGUCUUAAUUCAGGUGAUGAUUAGCAGUGUAAUUGAGACCCAGACUCAUUUUUUAUUUUAUUUUUUUACUUUCAGAAGUUCAUUUCUCCUCACUAUCUUAAACAACUGUACUAGAAAGUUGCUGGAUUGUAACAACGCAAAGGAAAUUUUAUCAUAGGAAUUUAUAUUUCCAAUGGGAAUAAAAUCAGGCCUAAGUCUCUG
rnacentral:lncRNA from 1 species